rnacentral:rRNA from 1 species
UACGUAGGGUGCGAGCGUUGUCCGGAAUUAUUGGGCGUAAAGAGCUUGUAGGCGGUCUGUCGCGUCUGCUGUGAAAAUCCGGGGCUCAACCCCGGACUUGCAGUGGGUACGGGCAGACUAGAGUGUGGUAGGGGAGACUGGAAUUCCUGGUGUAGCGGUGAAAUGCGUAGAUAUCAGGAGGAACACCGGUGGCGAAGGCGGGACUCUGGGCCGAUACUGACGCUGGAGAAAGCGAAAAGCGUGGGGAGCGAACAGG